UGUUUCGGCUAGGGGGCCAUCCCGGCUUACCAACCCGAUGCAAACUGCGAAUACCGGAGAAUGUUAUCACGGGAGACACACGGCGGGUGCUAACGUCCGUCGUGAAGAGGGAAACAACCCAGACCGCCAGCUAAGGUCCCAAAGUCAUGGUUAAGUGGGAAACGAUGUGGGAAGGCCCAGACAGCCAGGAUGUUGGCUUAGAAGCAGCCAUCAUUUAAAGAAAGCGUAAUAGCUCACUGGUCGAGUCGGCCUGCGCGGAAGAUGUAACGGGGCUAAACCAUGCACCGAAGCUGCGGCAGCGACACUCAGGUGUUGUUGGGUAGGGGAGCGUUCUGUAAGCCUGUGAAGGUGUGCUGUGAGGCAUGCUGGAGGUAUCAGAAGUGCGAAUGCUG
rnacentral:rRNA from 1 species